GGAUGAUAUUGAUGAUGAAAUGUCUUACGAUGAUCAUUUAGAGGUUUAUUUUGAACAACUGGCAAUUCCACGAAUGAUGGAAUAAAACAUAUGAAGUAGAAGGACUGGAACCUCCAGAAAAAGUACUUUAAGUUACCUACAGGUGAUCCUAGUCAGAUCAACCAGUGGCUAGCAUUUGCCACCUUUUGCAGUUUCUUUCUCUUUCCAUAAGUACUUUCUUCUCUGAAUCAUUUGAAAGCAAAUGAAAACAGUAGCCUAAAGUGUCAGUUUCAACCAGAAAAUAACAGCUCUGAUUUCUCAUGGCUCACACUCUUCUGAAACGACUCGGGUAGAGGCUGAGGAAGGCCGUGUUGUUUGUCUACCUGGGACUACACCUACUGAAAGAAGUUCUCAAGUUCUGACUGAGUUCUAAAAUUUUUUGAAGAUUAGAAUUCUUCAUAUGAAACAAUCAUAACAAGAAUAAGAAGCAAGCCGGGUGCGGUGGCUCAUGCCUGUAAUUCCAGCACUUUGGGAGGCCGAGCUGGGAGGAUCACUUGAGCCCAGGAGUUUGAGACCAACCUGGGUAACAUAAUGAGACCUUACAAAAAAAAAUAAAAUUAAAUUUCAAAAACAUAAUUAGAUACCAGUGUAUCCCCAGCAGAUUGACACAAAUUAAAAGUCAACAGUAUCCUGUGUUGGUGAAGACAUACAGCAACUGGAAGUCUCCUGUGCAUGUUAGCCAUGUUUAUACCUUUCAUCUCAGCAGUUUCACUCUUAACGAUAUAUGCUAGAGAAACUCUUACUCAUGUGCUCCACAGACAGGUAGGAG
rnacentral:lncRNA from 1 species